rnacentral:rRNA from 1 species
UGCAGCGACGCCGCGUGAGGGAUGACGGCCUUCGGGUUGUAAACCUCUUUCAGCACAGACGAAGCGCAAGUGACGGUAUGUGCAGAAGAAGGACCGGCCAACUACGUGCCAGCAGCCGCGGUAAUACGUAGGGUCCGAGCGUUGUCCGGAAUUACUGGGCGUAAAGAGCUCGUAGGUGGUUUGUCGCGUUGUUCGUGAAAACUCACAGCUUAACUGUGGGCGUGCGGGCGAUACGGGCAGACUUGAGUACUGCAGGGGAGACUGGAAUUCCUGGUGUAGCGGUGGAAUGCGCAGAUAUCAGGAGGAACACCGGUGGCGAAGGCGGGUCUCUGGGCAGUAACUGACGCUGAGGAGCGAAAGCGUGGGGAGCGAACAGGAUUAGAUACCCUGGUAGUCCACGCCGUAAACGGUGGGUACUAGGUGUGGGUUUCCUUCCUUGGGAUCCGUGCCGUAGCUAACGCAUUAAGUACCCCGCCUGGGGAGUACGGCCGCAAGGCUAAAACUCAAAGAAAUUGACGGGGGCCCGCACAAGCGGCGGAGCAUGUGGAUUAAUUCGAUGCAACGCGAAGAACCUUACCUGGGUUUGACAUGCACAGGACGCUGGUAGAGAUAUCAGUUCCCUUGUG